GUGGGGAAUAUUGGACAAUGGGCGCAAGCCUGAUCCAGCCAUGCCGCGUGAGUGAUGAAGGCCUUAGGGUUGUAAAGCUCUUUUGUCCGGGAAGAUAAUGACUGUACCGGAAGAAUAAGCCCCGGCUAACUUCGUGCCAGCAGCCGCGGUAAUACGAAGGGGGCUAGCGUUGUUCGGAAUCACUGGGCGUAAAGCGCACGUAGGCGGACCAUUAAGUCAGGGGUGAAAGCCUGGAGCUCACAUCCAGAACUGCCUUUGAUACUGAUGGUCUGAAGUAGGGAAGAGGUUGGUGUAACUGCGUGUGUAGAGGUGAAAUUCGUAGAUAUUCGCAAGAACACCGGUGGCGAAGGCGGCCAACUGGUCCAUUACUGACGCUGAGGUGCGAAAGCGUGGGGAGCAAACAGGAUUAGAAACCCUGGUAGUCC
rnacentral:rRNA from 1 species